rnacentral:tRNA from 1 species
GCCCUCAUAGUUUAGUGGAUAGAAUGUCUCGUUGCGGUCGAGAUGACCUGAGUUCGAUUCUCAGUGGGGGCA